CUGAGAGAGAAAGACUUUCUACAAGCUUAGAGUCAAUGGAUGAAAAAAAAGAAGAUAUAAUUACUGAUGAUGAACAAGAAUUCUUUGUAAUAUACAUAUACAUAAAAGCGUACAAAACGGAAAGGAAGAACAGAUGUAUUUACUUGAAAAUUUUUUUAAAAGAAAAAACAAAGCGAUUUUGGAUAUCAUUAUUUUAAAGAAAGAGCUGCAUAUGCUUAAAAAGAAAAAUAAAGAAUAUAAAAAAACUAUUAAUGAAAUGGAAGAUAAAUUAAAUAUUAAUGAAAAAGUAAAAUUAAAAAAAGAUGAUUUUAUUAUCACCCCUUCUUAAGAUUAUUUAUUUUAGCAACUUAAAAAAAAAAAAAAAAAAAAAAAAAAUGAAUAUAUGUAUAAAACCAUAUAUAUAUAAAAAAUAUUUACUAUAACUAUCAUAUGCUUGUUCAACAAAGGAAAACAAAAAAAGAAAAAAUACAUUACAUUUAUAUUUUUAUAAAAUAUUACUUUAAAAGCUUAUGGUAUUUUAUAAACUGCGAAACAUAAAAAAUAUAAAUACAUACGCAUAUAUAUUUACAUUCGUCUUAUUUUGUUUUCUCAUUUUUUGUAACAUUUUUCCAUUUUUUCAUAUUUUUUGAGUUUUUCUUUUUUUUUUUUUUUUUUUUUUUUGUUGUUGUUUUUCUUAAAUGUUCGUAAAUAUACUUCAUUAUAUAUGAUAAAAAAAAAAAAAAAAAAAACUAGCAUAAAAGAUAACAUGAAAUGUAAAUAACAAUUACAAUGAAUUUUCAAAAAUGGGUAAGGUAUAAUAGUGCUCGUUUCAUUUGUUACAAAAACGAAGUACCCUACUUUUUUAGCAACGAAUCAAAAAUACCAGUUAAGAAAAUUAUUCCUUGUAAAGAAGUUAAUAAAAGAGAAAACCAACACAAAUAUACAUUAAUUAAUAAUAUAUAUUAUGUAAAAGAAUUAGAUUUGUAUGAUAAACUUAUCAACAUAUAUGUUGAUGUUAUUUUUAAUUUUGAAAAAUAUCCUCUGCAUGUUCAGCAUUUACAUAUAUUUUGCAAGAACUUACUUAAAGAAAAGGUAGAGAGUGUUAAAAAAAGUUCCGAACAUAAAAAAAGACUGUUUGAAAUAGGAGAUGUUACAACAGAAACUCUGAAUGAGUAUCUUGUAAGAUUAAAUGAUGAAAAAAUGAAAAAAAAAAAAAAAUAUAAACGUGAACACAAACAAUAAUUGGUUAUAUGAACAAAAUAUAAAUAAUGUAGUUAGUAAAGUAAAGGAAUUUUACAAUUACAAAAAUGUAAUAUAUGCAUUAUUUACUUUAGAGCAUCAGAGAAUAAUUUUUAAUUAUACUGAACUGACAUUAAUGAACGAAUUACAACACUGUUUUGCGAAUUCUUCUUUAAGUCAAGGUAAAGAUAUUUAUAAGUAUAUUAAAAAAUAUGGUAAAGAUAAUAUAUAUAUUUAUAUUUUAGAAUAUUGUAAUAAUUUAAAUAUUUUAAAAAAACGAUUUGAUGUUGUUAAACAUUUAUUUUUUUUUAACAACUUGCGAUUAUAAUAUUAAUAUGAGUGGAGUAAGCUUUUACCUCAUCCAAAAAAACAAAAAAAAAAAAAUUAAUUACUUGUUUAGGUAGCUACGAACAGAAGCAUAACAAUUAAUGUAUAUAAACAUAUAUAUAUAUAUAUAUAUAUAUAUAUAUAUAUAUAUAUAUUUUUAUGUUAUUGUAGGUUAUUUUAUUUUUUUUGUUACAUAUAUUCUGUGUCUGUGAGUAUAUACACACAUUUGUACAUUAUUAUCAAAAGACUUACUUUAAUUGUUCAAAUAUAUACAAUUUUGUCUAUACUUAUUUAUUUUCAACAUAACAAAACUUUUAAUUAGUAACCUCUUUUCCCUCCAAAUAAAAAAAUCAUAAAUGAAUAAAAUUAUUAUUUU
ensembl:lncRNA